CGCUAUUGAAACGCACUAAGACGGGAACUUUACAGAUUGGCCCCCCCACCAGAUCCUGUCGGGGCACCAUGGUCGCGUCAACUGUCUGCUGCAUCCCCAUCGGGAGCAUCCCAGAUACGAGAGACAGUUUCUGGUGUCUGGAGGCGUGGACUUUGCCGUCUGUCUCUGGGAUUUAGUCACCGGCUCGCUCAUUCAUCGGUUCUGCGUGCACGCAGGCGAAAUCACGCAGCUGCUGGUGCCGCCGGACAACUGCAGCGCUCGCAUUCAAAAGUGCAUCUGUGCAGUGGCGUCCGACCACUCGGUCACGUUGCUGAGUCUGGCUGAGCGAAAGUGCGUCUGUCUAGCGUCGCGGCACUUGUUUCCAGUCACCACGAUCAAGUGGCGCCC